GAACGAACGCUGGCGGCAGGCUUAACACAUGCAAGUCGAACGAUAUAGUGGCAGACGGGUGAGUAACGCGUGGAAACGUGCCUUUCACUACGGAAUAGCUUUUGGAAACGAAAGGUAAUACCGUAUACGCCCUCCGGGGGAAAGAUUUAUCGGUGAAAGAUCGGUCCGCGUUAGAUUAGCUAGUUGGUGAGGUAACGGCUCACCAAGGCUACGAUCUAUAGCUGGUCUGAGAGGAUGAUCAGCCACACUGGGACUGAGACACGGCCCAGACUCCUACGGGAGGCAGCAGUGGGGAAUAUUGCACAAUGGGCGCAAGCCUGAUGCAGCCAUGCCGCGUGAAUGAUGAAGGCCUUAGGGUUGUAAAAUUCUUUCGCCAAGGAUGAUAAUGACAGUACUUGGUAAAGAAGCCCCGGCUAACUUCGUGCCAGCAGCCGCGGUAAUACGAAGGGGGCUAGCGUUGUUCGGAAUUACUGGGCGUAAAGCGCACGUAGGCGGACUUUUAAGUCAGAUGUGAAAUCCCGAGGCUCAACCUCGGAACUGCAUUUGAAACUGGGAGUCUAGAGAUCAGGAGAGGUUAGUGGAAUACCGAGUGUAGAGGUGAAAUUUCGUAGAUAUUCGGUGGAACACCAGUGGCGAAAGCGACUAGCUGGACUGAUACUGACGCUGAGGUGCGAAAGUGUAGGGAGCAAACAGGAUUAGAUACCCUGGUAGUCCACACCGUAAACGAUGAGUGCUAGUUGUCUGCAGGCAUGCCUGUAGGUGACGCAGCUAACGCAUUAAGCACUCCGCCUGGGGAGUACGGCCGCAAGGUUAAAACUCAAAGAAAUUGACGGGGGCCCGCACAAGCGGUGGAGCAUGUGGUUUAAUUCGAAGCAACGCGCAGAACCUUACCUACGCUUGACAUGCCCGGACGAUUUCCAGAGAUGGAUCUCUCCCUUCGGGGCCGGUGCACAGGUGCUGCAUGGCUGUCGUCAGCUCGUGUCGUGAGAUGUUGGGUUAAGUCCCGCAACGAGCGCAACCCUCAUCCUUAGUUGCCAUCACGUUUGGGUGGGCACUCUAGGGAAACUGCCGGUGCUAAGCCGGAGGAAGGCGGGGAUGACGUCCAGUCCUCAUGGCCCUUACGCGUAGGGCUACACACGUGCUACAAUGGCAGUGACAAUGGGAUAAUCCCCAAAAGCUGUCUCAGUUCGGAUUGUCGGCUGCAACUCGCCGGCAUGAAGUUGGAAUCGCUAGUAAUCGUGGAUCAGCAUGCCACGGUGAAUACGUUCCCGGGCCUUGUACACACCGCCCGUCACACUAUGGGAGUUGGAUCUACCCGAAGAUUGUGAGCUAACUUCGGAGGCAGCAAGCCACGGUAGGUUCAGCGACUGGGGU
rnacentral:rRNA from 1 species